UUGUAUUGAGGCUGUCUUCCACAAAUUUUAACUGCUGAAAUGGCAUAUAUCUAAAACUAUAAUCGAGUAAGAUUUUUCUGUAUUAAACGUAAUACGGUACAAUAAAAAGUAGUCUACACUAGAGAGGAAAAGAAAAGAAAAAGAAGCAGAAUCAAUGAGUGAAGCACCUGGUGAGGAGUUCAUUUCACAUUCACCAUAUGAGAGGAGAGUUGAGAUGAGUAGCUUGGAUAAGUUAAAUAUGAUGGGAAGUGUUGCGAAUUUCCCAGCAAAAUACAUAUGACCUCUUUGAUACUUGAAAUUUGUAAAUCAAGACAAGGGCAACUGUACAAGUCAUUUUUAUCCCUGCUGCAAUGUCAAGUGACCAUACAAGAAUGCCACACCAAGUUUUACCAAUGAUGAAUAAGUGCUUCCAAUCGAUUUUCACUUAUUAAAAGUAGAGCUAGAGAUGCUUCAAUAUUCUGAAAGAAGAAUACUGCUUGUUCAACUCCUGAAAACACAAAUGGUUUUCAAUUAAUGAGAGGAGGUGAAAACGCACCAUAAUCUGCUGCCAUACUCCCACAGAUUCCUUUUUUUAUUUUUUUGUUUUGGGGGGAGUGGGGGGUGGGCGGUGGCGGGCGGUGGCGGAUUAGGGUAUGAAUUCUAAUUGAUUCAUUUUGUAAUAAAAACAUGGCAACUAAUUUGUAAUAGUACUAAGAAAGGAAAGGUUAUUGCUGGAAAAAUCCAUAUUUUCCACAUCAUGGAGACUGCUCGCCAAGUUCAUGUCCUUAAUUAAUUAAUUUAUUUAUUUUUGAUACAUUAUAAGAACAUCUUCAAAAAAUACACGCUCAAGAGGCAACCACCACCUCUAGUCCCUAACCAUCCUCCCUUGGAUGCCCCUCCAUGGUAAUGCAAGACAUAAUGAUGCAAAAUUUACCAACAAAAAGCCUCUCAUUGUGACUUGUCAAUCUCUCGGAAUCUCCUAUCCCAUUCUUGGGCCUCAAUAUCUUGCUCAAUUAUGUCCCUGUCAGUACUAUAGACAAUGCGAUCCUGCCCUAUCACUGUCUUUUGGGCCAAAUCCCGAGCACUCAGAAGCUGAACAGGAAAUACAGUGAAGUAAUUGUCCCCUGAUGAAAUUUACUUAAACAAGCCAAAUGUUUUUCCAUUAAAAGAAAAGUGAUAACAACUACUUUACAGUAAGCACAACUUAAUAUAAUAGCAAGUGCACCCUGAAGUAUAAAUAAACAAGCCAUAACUAUAGAUAAGCGCAAGCUCAACUUAAAACAUAUAAGCUCUUCAAGAAUGUGACAAAAUUACAAGACACCACCACAAGUGACAAUGACUUUUAACAUUAACAUGAAUAUCGACGACCCAAAUAAUUGCAAGAAAUUUUUCUUAGUUGCAUGAAUUGCAGACCAUGGAUUCCUAUACAAGACGGUCAAAUAGUUAUCCAAAAGCAUUUCUUUCUCUUUAAAGCUUUGCUAAGGGUUUUUGAUGCAAAACCAUAUUGUUGGGACUAAACCUUUCAAGUGCUGCUAAUUUCCCAACAAAGAUGAGCAAAAGAUACUAAAAAAGUUGAAGGAAUUAACAUUUAAUAGUAGGGAAGGGAUGCAAAACUUUUAGGAGGAUCUUGCCAUCUUUAUCAGAAAGAAGGAACCCAACUUUUCAUUGUCUAUAAUGUGUCACAAGAUGAAGAAAUCAUUCUUCAUAAACCAGCAGACAAAUGGUGUGCAGAAGGGUUCUUAUUGUUGGGUCACAUAAAAGGAUGAUUACUUAUCCUCUCCCACUACAAGAUAUUUAAAAAUAGGCCUUAGGUGAAUUGGAAAUUUUAUUAUUUAGAAUAAUAACUUCGCAUAACUACCCAAUGGCAAAGCAUAACCUUUAAGUCUGUCACAUUAUUUACAAUUAACAAAAGGGCAAGCACAAUUUAGAAUAAGCAUUAAAAUGUGACACCUUCUGUUUUAGUGAAGGAUCAGGAAGUUCAAGCGUUCGAGCAACUUGUUCCGUUGCUUGAUUUCUUUUCUCUAUAUCAGCAUUCCUCUUGCGAACGAGGAACCAGCGGAUCAAAGGAAUAGCAAAGAAAGAACCAGCAUAUAUCUGAAAAUUUAGUCAUUUUAGUCAUGAUAUCACAUAAGACCAAACCGUAAGAGAACUAAAAAUUACUGAGAACAUCAAAAACACCUAAAGUUUCACUCUUAUUGCUACAGCAUAAAUGCCUGGCACAAGCAAGUUUAUAAAUCAAUACAAAAGUAUAGUUCCCAAGGAACUUCACAAUCAGUUAGCAGUAAGCCUAAAGAACUUAAAUUGCGUUAGGGGAAAAAAAAAACUUAAAAUCAUUUACUGACUUUUCAGAAUCAAGAUAAUAAGUUUAAAAUCUUAAAUAAUAUUCAACUGCAUCUCAUAUAAAGAUAAUAAAUAAUAGAGACAUUAGGGCUUAAUAGAGAAAUUCGUAAGAAACCAAUCCAUAAGUGCUUAUGGAUUAAGAUAAAUUGAUAGAUACCUUAAUGUACCCAGACACUUUUUUGUCACUCUACAUUGGUCAAAAGAUUCAUAAAUUUUAACCUGAACUUACAAAAAAUGAGGAGAGGCAGAGUGAUUGUUGUACUUUUAAAAGGAAAAACUCAUACAACAAUAUUGGCAAAUAUGAUGUCAUUUAUUCAGUGGGAAAGUGAAACAUGAAACUACACCUGAAGUAGAGGAAAUAUGCCAGAAACAAAUUUAAUUAAUCCACUUGGUGUAACAGCAAUAUCCCUUCAAGACAUGAUAGAGGUGGAGAGAUCAGAUAUAUGAAAGAUAAAACAUCAAAGUAAGCUUCAAUCUCAAGAGAAUCAUACUUUAACAUGGCUCCAAGAAUAAUGACUCCAAGCAGGUUAGCCCCACCCAACCCAAUGACCAUUGCUCUCUCUGCUGCACCGGUCUUACUGAAUUGCCAUUUUUUCUCACUGAAAAACUUCUCAAGCCCAAUCCAAUCCGCCCAUCUCCUGCCUACAUAUUCCUUCCUCCUACUUCUCUGAGAAGAAGCUGUACGCUGAAGUGAAGGAAAUCGGUACAGAAUAUUGCCCUCUUCAUCAAUUUCUGGCAGACCAUCAAACCGUAGAAGAACUGGUAAAAUGUAUGACUCAUCAUUCAUAAUUUGCUCAGUAUUCUGUAAAUCAAGAUAUGGUGCAAGUUCUUCAGCUGUGACGACACCACCAUUGGAGGAAAUGUAUUGUCCAAUCAACUUCCACCUCUCUUCUUCAAUUCCUUGGUUAGGAUCACCAUCCCCAAACACAAAUGAGAAGACCUAAAAGUCAUAUAAAUAGUUUACUUUCUUUUCAGAGUAAAACAUAGCAAGUAUGAUUCAGAUUUUUAGCUUACAGAUUCAAUGAAGUUCAUCUUGCCAUCAUCAUCAAUUUGUACUUGUCUCCUCCUAUAGUAAUAUGGAUCCCAGUACCUGAAGGAAAAAAAAUUGCUUAAAAUUUCUCUUAAUUUCACUUUGUCAAUAAUUGGAAGCUGGAGACUUACACACAGGAGAGCAAGAAUGAUAUCCCAAUGUUACUUGAAUGACAGGAUAAAAUUUCAGAAAGUUCACAAAUAGUUUUCAACAUUCACUUCGACGACGCAAACAUGCAUCUGAAAAUUCUCAGUCAACCACAAUUAAUAUUUAUGUUAUCUCCAAAGAAAUGCUUAUGAACUACAUAACUCUAGAAAGAAUAAGCAUACCUAACCAAAUGCAGAAAAAUUCUAAAAUCACAUAAUAGUGAGUGUGACUGGCUCAAACAUGUAAAGCAUGCAGGCAAAUACUAUAUAUGAUAUACAUGCAAUCCAAUGCAGUCAGCACUAAUUAACAUCAAUUUAUGAUUUCUAAUAAUCUGGAAAACCAGUAAGAAUUAUGUAAGUCCAAAGAAUAUACCAAAAUAGAUCAGUAGGACUAAAGUAAAAGGUGAAUCCUGAGUCAUACGAUCUGCCUCCACGUCUUCCACGAUGGUCUUCUUCACUUCUACUUGAAAGGAGAGCGAUUAUAGUUGUAUAAACAAUAACUAUUGAAGCAAUUAGUGCUGUUCCAAAGGAUACCCUAAUAAGAUAUUCAGCAGUGGCCUUCGCCUUAUCAAACAAAGGUUCAACUUUCAUCCUAAAUGACUUUGCUGUAAGCUUUGAGCGGUAAUCUUUAGGAAAAACGUAAAGCACAUCACCUUCAUCUGAAACCUCUAGAAAGCCAUCGGUAUCAGCAGCAACAGCCUGGAGAGCCUUUUGAGCUUGAUUCAAGUUAAGUCCAGCCCUGCUAGCCACAUCCCCUAUCGUAACCCUCCCUCCACAAGCAUCAACAGCUUCCAUCGUUCGCUUCCUGACAUCAGCCCGCAAUUUAUCGCUCUCCACGACACCUCCGGGCCUAAUUCCGGCGGGUACAUCAAUGCUCGCCCUGACGAAGGCCGCAGAAACCCUAGAGUUGGCAAAUUUGAAAGGAAUUCUGGAGGAAUGAAGUGGUUGAAUAUUAGUAAAAGAAUCGGGAGGUUUAAAGCGAAAUGAGGGUUUUGAAAUGACCAUUGGAUGAGAAUGUAGGAUGCGAGAUUUGGCGGACACAGUGAAGCAGGUGGACAUCGAAGCCAUUUUGAAUUUGUUACGAUUCUGUUCUAGCAAAAUUUGAAAGGCUUUGCCAAUACUGAGACGAAGCUGUCAUGGCAGUAGCAACUACAUAAAACUGUUGAGUGGCUUAGGA
rnacentral:misc_RNA from 1 species